GGAAUAUUGCGCAAUGGGCGAAAGCCUGACGCAGCGACGCCGCGUGGGGGAUGAAGGUUUUCGGAUUGUAAACCCCUUUCAUGAGGAAAGAUAAAGUGGGUAACCACUUAGACGGUACCUCAAGAAGAAGCCACGGCUACCUUCGUGCCCGCAGCCGCGGUAAUACGAAGGUGGCAAGCGUUGUUCGGAUUUACUGGGCGUACAGGGAGCGUAGGCGGUUGGGUAAGCCCUCCGUGAAAUCUCCAGGCUUAACCUGGAAAGUGCAGAGGGGACUGCUCAGCUAGAGGAUGGGAGAGGAGCGCGGAAUUCCCGGUGUAGCGGUGAAAUGCGUAGAGAUCGGGAGGAAGGCCGGUGGCGAAGGCGGCGCUCUGGAACAUUUCUGACGCUGAGGCUCGAAAGCGUGGGGAGCAAA
rnacentral:rRNA from 1 species